rnacentral:ncRNA from 1 species
AUUAAAAAUUUAAAGUUAAUUAAAAUUUAAUUUUUGUUUAAAGAUUAAUUGAAUUUUAUAAAUACUAUACAAUAUUUUUUUAAAAAAAUUAUUAUUAAAGUAAUAUUUAGAUUUUAUUAAAAUUAAUGAAAGUUAGAUUAAGAUAAGAAUGAUAAAAAUAGGAAAAUUUAGUGCCAGCAUCAGCGGUUAGACUAUUUAUUUAAGUUAAUUAAGAAUUUUGUAUAAAAAAUUAUUUUUUAAAAUAUAAGUUUAAUUAAUAAUUAAUUAUUUGGUGAAAUAUAAUGAAUUAUUAUUAAAAUUUUUUAAGGGUAUAAUUUUAUGAAAGUUAUGUAAUAGACUAGGAUUAGAUACCCUAUUAUAAUAAAUGUAUUAAUAUUAUAGAAGAGAUUAAAUGAUAAAUCAUUAAAUUUAAAAGAUUUGGCAGUAUUUAAUAUUUAGAGGAACCUGUGUAGUAAUUGAUAAUCCACGAUAAGAUAAACUUAAUUAUAAAAUUUAUGUAUUGCUGUUUUAAAUAUCUAAUUAAGUUAGAUUGUGAAAAGUACAAUAGAUUAUGUGAGAGUAGAAUAAUUCAAGUCAAAAUAUAGUAUAGUUAAGAUAGCAUGGGUUACAAUUAAUUUGAUUAUUAGAUUAUAAAAUUUAAUUUUUAUAUGAAAGUGGAUUUAAAAGUAAAUUUGAUAAAUUAAUUAAGUUGAAUGUUAAAUUAAAUAUGUACAAAUUGCCCGUCACUUUCAAUAAAAUGGAAUAAGUCGUAACAAAGUUUAAGUACCGGAAGGUGCCUAUUGAUAAGUAAUAAAUCUUUAAAAUUUUAGUUUAUAUAAAAAUAAUUUAUUUACAAUAAAUA